CUCAGUUCCCACCGCUAGGGCUGGCUGCGAGCAAGUCGGGGACCUGUGGCGGCCGGAGGGCUGUCAUCUCAGCCCCGGGAUUCAGAGCGCAUCGACUCCGCAGCGGAGCGGGGCACACCCCGGCUCCCGAGGCGCUGCAGGUCUCUGGCUGAAGCAACAGUAGUUUCCCUCAGCGAGGCCGCAAUUAACGUCUUAUUUGUUCUGGCUCCGUACAGGCAUUGCCGGGACCGCGGUGCGGCGACCGAGGUGUCCCUGAAGUCCCUAUCAACAUCAACUCUCAAUAUUUGAAAACAAUCAGUUGUGAAGAGAGUAACAUUUACCUCUAUUACUGUGAAGAUUAAAGAUA
rnacentral:lncRNA from 1 species